rnacentral:rRNA from 1 species
AUUGAACGCUGGCGGCAGGCCUAACACAUGCCAGUCGAACGGUAACAGGAAGAAGCUUGCUUCUUUGCUGACGGGUGGCGGACGGGUGAGUAAUGUCUGGGAAACUGCCUGAUGGAGGGGGAUAACUACUGGAAACGGUAGCUAAUACCGCAUAAUGUCGCAAGACCAAAGAGGGGGACCUUCGGGCCUCUUGCCAUCGGAUGUGCCCAGAUGGGAUUAGCUAGUAGGUGGGGUAACGGCUCACCUAGGCGACGAUCCCUAGCUGGUCUGAGAGGAUGACCAGCCACACUGGAACUGAGACACGGUCCAGACUCCUACGGGAGGCAGCAGUGGGGAAUAUUGCACAAUGGGCGCAAGCCUGAUGCAGCUAUGCCGCGUGUAUGAAGAAGGCCUUCGGGUUGUAAAGUACUUUCAGCGGGGAGGAAGGGAGUAAAGUUAAUACCUUUGCUCAUUGACGUUACCCGCAGAAGAAGCACCGGCUAACUCCGUG